GACGAACGCUGGCGGUGUGCUUAACACAUGCAAGUCGAACGGUAAGGCCCUUUCGGGGGUACACGAGUGGCGAACGGGUGAGUAACACGUGAGUAACCUGCCCUCAUCUCUGGGAUAACAGUCGGAAACGGUUGCUAAUACUGGAUAUGAGCCUGCAAGGCAUCUUGUGGGUUGGAAAGAUUUUUUGGUUGGGGAUGGACUCGCGGCCUAUCAGCUUGUUGGUGAGGUAGUGGCUCACCAAGGCUUCGACGGGUAGCCGGCCUGAGAGGGCGACCGGCCACAUUGGGACUGAGAUACGGCCCAAACUCCUACGGGAGGCAGCAGUGGGGAAUAUUGCACAAUGGACGGAAGUCUGAUGCAGCAACGCCGCGUGCGGGAUGACGGCCUUCGGGUUGUAAACCGCGUUCAAUUGUGACGAAGCUUUUUGUGACGGUAGCAGUAGAAGAAGCACCGGCUAACUACGUG
rnacentral:rRNA from 1 species